rnacentral:lncRNA from 1 species
GAACAAUCACCCCAAUCUCUGCCCCGAUCUUCACAUGGCGUUCUCUCUGUGUGCACAUCCGUCUCCAAAUUUCCCUUUUCAUAAGGACACUAGUCAAUGGAUUAGGGUCCACCCUAAUGACUUUGUUUUAACUUGAUUAUCUCCGUAAAGACCUAUUUCCAAAUAAGGUCACAUACUAAGGUACUGGGGGCUAGGACCUCAACAUGUGAAUUUGGGGGUGGGGGGAUACCAUUCAGCCCCUCACACUGCCCUGUGGUUAGUACACACGCUCACACCUGUGACCCAGCCGCGUGACCUUCCUGCCUCACAUUACUGUACCAACUCAGGUAGAAGUGGUCCUGGCCAGCAGUGGGUUAAUGGUUGAUGCAUUAUUCAUCGCUUUCCACCCCUUCGCUCACUCACUCACUGGGUCGGUGGGUAUUUACUGAGCACCUUCUAUGUGCCAGCACUGUCCUGGAUGCUGGAGAUAAAUAAACAAGGGCAAUAAACAAGCGAGCAUGCAGGAAGGAUGAUUCCAGUGAGGGUGAAACGUUCCAGAGGGUGUAAACAGGAGGGAAGAUGGAGAAGGGGGCAGGGGGAUGAUUUAGGAUUGGGGAGUCAGAGAAGGUUUUUCUGAGGAGAUGUUUCAGCUGACGCCUGAGCAUGGAAGGGAGCCCACUGUGCAAGAGUGUUCAAGGAAGAACAUUCUAGGCCGAGGGGACAGCAAGCCUGAAAAUGCUGAGUCCAAAGAGAUUUCAUCGUAUCCUGGGAAGAGAAAGGGGUCGGGGGGCUGCUCUGUCCUGAGAACCAGAAGAAGCCCCCUUCUGAGGCAGGAAAGAUCUCACCAAGCUUCUUCCCACCUCAGCAACGCCGCACCUGCUGAUGCCAAAGCCAGAACACUCUUCCUUUGGCUCUCCCACAGCUGGUUCCUCCUCUUCCUCCUCCUUACGUCAGCCACUCGGAGAGGCUGAAGCUGGUCCUUCCCUAGUCACCCCGUCUAAAGGUGGUCCCCUCCGUUAUUCUCUGCUACAGCCACCUGCAUAGC